rnacentral:rRNA from 1 species
UUCUGGCGUCAGGAUGAACGCUAGCUACAGGCUUAACACAUGCAAGUCGAGGGCAGCAUGUUGGUGCUGCAAUCAAUGAUGGCGACCGGCGCACGGGUGAGUAACGCGUAUCCAACCUUCCCUAUAGUAGAGGAUAGCCCGGCGAAAGUCGGAUUAAUACUCUAUGUUUUCCAAUGCAGACAUCUAAAAUGGAACAAAGGUUCACCGCUAUAGGAUGGGGAUGCGUCUGAUUAGAUAGUCGGCGGGGUAACGGCCCACCGAGUCGACGAUCAGUAGGGGUUCUGAGAGGAAGGUCCCCCACAUUGGAACUGAGACACGGUCCAAACUCCUACGGGAGGCAGCAGUGAGGAAUAUUGGUCAAUGGGCGAGAGCCUGAACCAGCCAAGUAAGCGUGCAGGAUGACGGCCCUAUGGGUUGUAAACUGCUUUUAUACAGGGAUAAAGUGACGUACGUGUACGUUUUUGUAGGUACUGUAUGAAUAAGGACCGGCUAAUUCCGUGCCAGCCGCCGC